CCUACGGGAGGCAGCAGUGGGGAAUAUUGGACAAUGGGCGCAAGCCUGAUCCAGCAAUACCGCGUGAGUGAUGAAGGUCUUCGGAUUGUAAAGCUCUUUUAGUAGGGAAGAUAAUGACGGUACCUACAGAAAAAGCACCGGCAAACUUCGUGCCAGCAGCCGCGGUAAUACGAAGGGUGCUAGCGUUGUUCGGAAUCACUGGGCGUAAAGCGUACGUAGGCGGUUUGGUAAGUCGAUUGUGAAAUCCCCGAGCUUAACUCGGGAAUUGCAACCGAAACUGCCUUGCUAGAGUAUGGUGGGGGAUAGUGGAAUUCCUAGUGUAGGGGUGAAAUCCGUAGAUAUUAGGAGGAAUACCGGUGGCGAAAGCGACUAUCUACGCCAUUACUGACGCUAAGGUACGAAAGCGUGGGGAGCAAACAGGAUUAGAUACCCUGGUAGUCCACGCAGUAAACGAUGGGUGCUAGUUGUCGGGCUCUUAGAGUUCGGUGGCGAAGCUAACGCGUUAAGCACCCCGCCUGGGGAAUACGGCCGCAAGGCUAAAACUUAAAUGAAUUGACGG
rnacentral:rRNA from 1 species